rnacentral:rRNA from 1 species
UACGUAGGGAGCGAGCGUUGUCCGAAGUUACUGGGCGUAAAGAGCGCGCAGGCGGUCGUUCAAGUCGAGUGUGAAAGCCCCCGGCUCAACUGGGGAGGGUCACUCGAUACUGAUCGACUUGAAGGCAGGAGAGGGAAGCGGAAUUCCCGGUGUAGUGGUGAAAUGCGUAGAUAUCGGGAGGAACACCAGUGGCGAAGGCGGCUUCCUGGCCUGUUCUUGACGCUGAGGCGCGAAAGCUAGGGGAGCAAACGGG